CCACAGUGAAAUUAUAAAUUCCCUUACAGUUUAAGCAACUUUGAACCAGGAGUUUUAUUAUUUACUGCACACAAAAUCCUAAUUGAUCUGGUUACUGUCAGUUUUGGUGCAUAUCUAUCUUCGAUAAUGUUAAAGCAAUGUUAAAAUCGAGAUUAAAACAGAAUUCCUCCCCCAAAUCAAUUCAAAUAUUAAUUUCCCAAAAAGGUUAGAAUCAUUAAAUUGAUCAUUCAAAAGCUAGAUAUUGAUAUUUUUCUACUUUCUUUCUGAAUUAAUCAUGAUGAAUUCACUUAAAGUUUCCAUUGAAAACAAAACAUUAUUUUAAGGCAUUAUUUUUACAUUUGAGCAGGUUUUAGGAUGAACACUUUACCAUAAAGACACAUUUUACAAAUGGUUCAGAAGAUAAACUAGAGUAGCUCAUUAUCUUUGUGAAAUUAUAGUUGUUUGCUAUAAGACCUAUCAGACUUCCAGAAUGUAAUAAAUCAGAAAGAAUUCCCAGUCCUCUUCAAAAAAUAAAAUACAUUACUAUCAGAAAGUAACAAUCUUCUAAUGUACUCUUAUAAUCAAAAUACCACCAAUUAAAAGGUAAAUCACUUACAAAGGACAUUCAAAAGUAAAACAAAAUGGCAUUCUGCUAUUUCAAAGAUCUGCAACACACGCAGUAUUACUGAGAGUUUGCUGAUCUUACCAUUAAUUUGUUGGUCAUUUUUCUGACCACCUAUUUUCAGACAAAAUGGAAUAGCAUAAUGCUUUAGAAUCUAUGCUGUAAUAGGAAAAUAAUAAAGAUAACCUGUUUUAUAAUCCUGUCAGAUGCUUAAGUGAAGUAUCUGUGAAAAUACUUUGUAAAGGGUGGCAAUUUUACAUUCCUUUUCAAAGUUCAUUCUAUCCAGUUACAGAGAGCAAAAAUAAUAAAUCUGUGUUCUCAAAUCUCCUUCCUUCACUCACAAUGCUCUCUUCCCAUUUCUAUUCCUCUGUCAAAAAAUGACCUAUUCUGACACUUUUCCUGUGUUAGAUAAUAGGGUCAUUGAGGCUGGAGAAUCUAUCUGUAGUUUCGUUGAGACAAAAAGGACAUGCUUAAAUUCCCAUCACUUGAAAGGUCACCUAACUCAUACCUAUCAUCUUUGAACUAAGAACACAGCUUGAUUAUUUUGAUAGGCUAAAAUGAAAAGCUCCUUAAGAGUGCUCCAUUCUUAAGAAUUAAAAACUGGACCAGCAAGACCUCAGAGAACUUAGAUUCCGGUUCUAUAGUGAACUCUAUAAUUAUUUAUGGAGAAUAGGAAAAAAAAUCAGUGAAAAAUGAUGAUACUCUUGGGAGAUUUUCUAAAAUUCUAUAAUUUCUCCAUUCACCCAGGAGGGCACUCAUUAUAAAAAUGACUGUUAAAAAAAAAAAAAAAAAAAAAAAAUGACUGUUAAAGUUCUACUAUGCCCUAGUCAUGAAGGUGUAUACAAAGACACAUUUAGCCUAGUCCACGCCACUAGGGAGCUUUCAGUUACGUGAGGAUGGGAGUGAGGCAAACUAUAUUUACAUAAUUAACUACAACCACACUUUUGAAGUAACUUCACUACAAGGAAGAAUUAAAUAUAUGGUGUAAUUGGGUAUAGGAAUCAUCAGGUGUUAUUAAUGAGAAAGCUCUCUGGAUUCCUGGAGCUACAAAUAGAAUAGAGCUAACUUGAUGCCUAAAUGUCUUAAGCAUCAGACCAUUGGGGUUUGGGAUGCUCCUGGGAUUCCUCACCUAACUAAAGUCGCCCCACAUUUGAGUUUUCUAAGGCAACACUAAACUUAGUAGAGUUCUAUUAUUCAUUGUACAAUAAAUAGGUUGUAAUAAUAAUGAUGAUACCAGAGUUUUAAAUCUAAUGAUGAUUAAUAGGUAUUAAUCUCUGAGAAAGUUACAGGCAUUGUGCUGAGCAUUUUAUGCUUCUUAUUUAAUUCUCAAAAUAGCUCUUGGAGAUAGUUAUUAAUAUCAUCACUUCAAAUUUAUAGUUGAUAAAAUGAGGUCUAGGGAGGUUAAACCACUUACCAAAGAUUACACAAGAGCAAAAGGUAUGUCAGGAAUGUACCCGAGGCAGUCAGCUUCUAGAAUCCCCAUCGUAUCCAUGGCCAGUCCUUUCUGUAAUUAUACCCCAGCAUAUGGCUCUCACAUUCAUGAAGGAAACCCUCUUCCACAUUCCCACUUUUCCCCACACGUCCCCCUUUAUUCUGUUAAGGCUGCUCAUAGUACUGAUAAUAGUAUGCACAUUAAAGAUGAAUACCUUUGGCCCUAAGUUAUCUACUAUGUCAUGCAGCCUUGUCAUUUUCUUUUUUUUAAUUUGAGUGAUGGAG
rnacentral:lncRNA from 10 species